rnacentral:tRNA from 1 species
GGACGGUUAGCUCAGUUGGUAGAGCACCGCUUUUACACAGCGGGGGUCACAGGUUCGAGCCCUGUAUCGUCCA